rnacentral:rRNA from 1 species
AUUGAACGCUGGCGGCAUGCCUUACACAUGCAAGUCGAACGGCAGCGCGGACUUCGGUCUGGCGGCGAGUGGCGAACGGGUGAGUAAUACAUCGGAACGUACCCUGUUGUGGGGGAUAACUAGUCGAAAGAUUAGCUAAUACCGCAUACGACCUGAGGGUGAAAGUGGGGGACCGCAAGGCCUCACGCAGCAGGAGCGGCCGAUGUCUGAUUAGCUAGUUGGUGGGGUAAAGGCCCACCAAGGCGACGAUCAGUAGCUGGUCUGAGAGGACGAUCAGCCACACUGGGACUGAGACACGGCCCAGACUCCUACGGGAGGCAGCAGUGGGGAAUUUUGGACAAUGGGGGCAACCCUGAUCCAGCAAUGCCGCGUGUGUGAAGAAGGCCUUCGGGUUGUAAAGCACUUUUGUCCGGAAAGAAAUCGCGCUGGUUAAUACCUGGCGUGGAUGACGGUACCGGAAGAAUAAGCACCGGCUAACUACGUA